CCUACGGGAGGCAGCAGUGGGGGAUAUUGCACAAUGGGGGAAACCCUGAUGCAGCAACGCCGCGUGUGGGAAGAAGGUGUUCGGAUUGUAAACCACUGUUCGUGGGGAAGAAAAUGACGGUAACCAAGGAGAAAGCUGCGGCGAACUACGUGCCAGCAGCCGCGGUAAUACGUAGGGAGCAAGCGUGGUCCGGAUUGACUGGGUGUAAAGGGUGCGGAGGCGGUCUUGCAAGUCUGACGUGACAACCACAGGCUCAACCUUUGGACUGCGUUUGAAACUGUGGGGCUUGAGUGAAGUAGAGGUCGGCGCACUUCCCGGUGUAGCGGUCACCUGCUU
rnacentral:rRNA from 1 species